GUGGCUAUAGCUCAGCCGGGUUAGAGCACCAGAUUGUGGAUCUGGGUGUCGUGGGUUCGAAUCCCACUAGCCACCCCA
rnacentral:tRNA from 1 species